GACGAACGCUGGCGGCGUGCUUAACACAUGCAAGUCGAACGGAAAGGCCCUGCUUUUGUGGGGUGCUCGAGUGGCGAACGGGUGAGUAACACGUGAGUAACCUGCCCUUGACUUUGGGAUAACUUCAGGAAACUGGGGCUAAUACCGGAUAGGAGCUCCUGCUGCAUGGUGGUGGUUGGAAAGUUUCGGCGGUUGGGGAUGGACUCGCGGCUUAUCAGCUUGUUGGUGGGGUAGUGGCUUACCAAGGCUUUGACGGGUAGCCGGCCUGAGAGGGUGACCGGCCACAUUGGGACUGAGAUACGGCCCAGACUUCUACGGGAGGCAGCAGUGGGGAAUAUUGCACAAUGGGCGGAAGCCUGAUGCAGCAACGCCGCGUGCGGGAUGACGGCCUUCGGGUUGUAAACCGCUUUCGCCUGUGACGAAGCGUGAGUGACGGUAAUGGGUAAAGAAGCACCGGCUAACUACGUG
rnacentral:rRNA from 1 species